rnacentral:tRNA from 1 species
GCCUCGAUAGCUCAGCGGUAGAGCACAGCUUUCGUAAAGCUGGGGUCGACGGUUCAAAUCCGUCUCGAGGCUCCA